AGUAAUGUCUGGGAAACUGCCUGAUGGAGGGGGAUAACUACUGGAAACGGUGGCUAAUACCGCAUAAUGUCUACGGACCAAAGCAGGGGCUCUUCGGACCUUGCACUAUCGGAUGAACCCAUAUGGGAUUAGCUAGUAGGUAGGGUAAAGGCUCACCUAGGCGACGAUCUCUAGCUGGUCUGAGAGGAUGAUCAGCCACACUGGGACUGAGACACGGCUCAGACUCCUACGGGAGGCAGCAUG
rnacentral:rRNA from 1 species